UGGGGAAUAUUGGACAAUGGGCGAAAGCCUGAUCCAGCAAUGCCGCGUGAGUGAUGAAGGCCUUCGGGUUGUAAAGCUCUUUCGCGCGCGACGAUGAUGACGGUAGCGCGAGAAGAAGCCCCGGCUAACUUCGUGCCAGCAGCCGCGGUAAUACGAAGGGGGCUAGCGUUGUUCGGAAUUACUGGGCGUAAAGGGCGCGUAGGCGGUGUGUCAAGUCAGGCGUGAAAGCCCCGGGCUUAACCUGGGAAAUGCGCUUGAGACUGGCACGCUAGAGUUCGGGAGAGGCGAGUGGAAUUCCCAGUGUAGAGGUGAAAUUCGUAGAUAUUGGGAAGAACACCGGUGGCGAAGGCGGCUCGCUGGACCGAUACUGACGCUGAGGCGCGAAAGCGUGGGGAGCAAACAGG
rnacentral:rRNA from 1 species